rfam:Fukomys damarensis contig84199, whole genome shotgun sequence.
GUGUGCUCGCUACAGCCGCACAUACACUAAAAUUGCAACGAUACAGAGGAUUAGCACAGCUGCUUUACAAGAACGACACACAAAAAUGUGACAUUAUCUUUAAUAUA